rnacentral:rRNA from 1 species
AAUAGUAUCUAGCGACUGUUUAUCUAAAACUCAGGUCUGUGCUAAAAGGUAAGGUGAUGUAUAGGGGCUGACUCCUGCCCGGUGCUGGAAGGUUAAGAGGAGUGGUUAGCAUCUGCGAAGCUAAGAAUAGAAGCCCCACUAAACGGCUGCCGUAACUAUAACGGUCCAAAUGUAGCGAAAUUCCUUGUCGGGUAAGUUCCGACC